GUUGAGGGGAAUGGUGUCUGGUUCGAGACCAUUCAGUCUGAAGCAAAGAUCAUCCAUCACCUUGAGAAUACCUUGAGAAUGAUCUCGGACCAGGCUUCAUUCCCCCUAGC
rnacentral:pre_miRNA from 1 species